GAAAGAACAGAGCAGUUUCUCUGUCCCACUUUCAGCAUGUUUAUGAGGGGUAUUUCCACCAUUUCAUUUAGACUAUUUUCUUUAUUAUAGAUUUCCAGCCUCUCUGGUGUGCUCCUAACUUUGGUCCUUUCUGCCUGGAUUCUGUGCCCAUGCAGACUGGGAAACACAGCUGUCAGGGGAAGGAUUUUCUGGCUAGCUGAAUGGUGCUGCCCAGCCCCCUGACAGCCUGAAAGCUUCAAAAGCCUGCAUGCUCCCUCCAGCUGCACGUCAGAUAACAUCAUGUCCUGCUCAUUCACCUGCUGAACCUGCCCUGAAAGGCCAGCAGCAUCACCCACACCUGG